rnacentral:rRNA from 1 species
GUCUACAGCUAUACCAUCCCAACCACACCCGAUCUCGUCUCAUCUCAGAAGCUAAGCAAGGUUGUCGUUUAAGUUCGGAGGCUCCAGCAGGCUGGGCUAGCUUCGCAGCGGUAGACA